AUUGAACACCGAAGUGGGUGAUUUUCUGAUGGGCCGCUGCUCCGCGAGUCAUUCUACCUUCGCCCCAUCGUCGUCCCCAACAGCUCCUGUGUAAAGGCGAUAUGGUUUCGGCGCAAUAAUGACGAGGAGCUCAGGCGUCGGAGUGUAGGAAUUGGCGGCUCACUGCUGUGAAUUGCUCUAUUGGGGGUGGAUCUGGUGUCAGGGCCAUGUAUGCUGCGACAUAUCUGUCUGGCUAUCUGUGCGAUCUUCCAUCUUGAAUCUCUCCCGAAUUCGAACGGUUUCGAUCCCUUCUGCUUAAUCUUGGUCUGUACGAAUAAAGAGGACGAUCUGUCGAUCUGGAACUGACCGUAUAUACCACCAUGCUCAGGCCUGAUGCUGCUCUGUGCUUAUUUAGUUCCAAGGGCAGUUGAUGUAGGUGAAGCAAUAAUUCUAAUCGGCCAGCCUAGCCAAAAGGAGGUAAAUCACCGAUCACACCCUUAUAUUGGUUGUUUAUUUUGAGUUUUGUGUAUACUCAAUCCGGUGGUGGAUAUAUGUUCAUGUUCGGGUUAGACAUGAGAGGUUGGCGGUAAACACGCGGCAGCUGUAGAGGUACACAUAUGGGAGAUGCUUGAGCUCCAGCAUGACACCACAUAGAGUACCGUUGGUUGAUAACAUUAAUAGCCCCCAAGGCCAUGUCUAUCUUUUUGGACAAAUACAGUGUUGCUACUCUCUUGGGAAUCUCUUUGCACCAGUUCGAUGACUUACUGUUUGAUUUGAUCUACAACUCUACAAGAGCUCAUAUGCCAUAUGGAAUUUAGCUUCAAACUUGGAAAGAUACUCAGGUAGGGUUAUUCUGCCCAAGAACUCCGAUGCCCCCAUUCGUAGCAUGUGGCACUGCUCCGCAGAUAACUAAGAGGGAACAGACAGGUACAUCUUUUGGUGAUUGAACAUCAGACACUAAACUUGGCCAACAAAAUUUCAGAAGAGGCUAGAGCCAUAUUGCAUUGGUAUAGAAAAUCCUUGGAAGUGACACCAAAUGAACAGUGGAGUUCUGGUUUUAGCUUUCAUCAAUUAUGCUUGAAAUGACCUUUAUCCCUUUUUAGCAUUGUUGUUCACUAGGUUCUCAUUAGAAGUCUAGAAGGUCGAAACAUGACACAAUAUUUCUUUAGUGAGACCUAUUAUUUGAAGCUAUUUGUACCGUUCGUAUGUUGUUCAAAUAUUCCAGUGUCUAAAAAUGGACGGCAACGUGCGUCUUCAUGUUCUGGAAGUGUUACAA